rnacentral:rRNA from 1 species
UGGGGAAUAUUGGACAAUGGGGGAAACCCUGAUCCAGCGAUGCCGCGUGAGUGAUGAAGGCCUUCGGGUUGUAAAGCUCUUUCAGUGGGGAGGAUAAUGACGUUACCCACAGAAGAAGGACCGGCUAACUCCGUGCCAGCAGCCGCGGUAAGACGGAGGGGGCUAGCGUUGUUCGGAAUGACUGGGCGUAAAGGGCGCGUAGGCGGCUUAUCAAGUCAGGUGUGAAAGCCUUGGGCUUAACCCAAGAAUUGCGCUUGAUACUGAUAAGCUAGAGGAUGAUAGAGGAAAGCGGAAUUCCUAGUGUAGAGGUGAAAUUCGUAGAUAUUAGGAAGAACACCAGUGGCGAAGGCGACCACCUGGACUGAUACUGACACUGAGGUGCGAAAGCGUGGGGAGCAAACA